rnacentral:lncRNA from 1 species
AAGGUGGCAUGCCAUGAAGAGUUUGGAUGAUUUGGUUCAGGUUCAAACAACCUUUAAUCUUAUCAUGAAUUCAAAUCAAAUUUGAAUUUAUUUUUUAACCAAAUUUAAUCCACAACUAAAGGACUCAGAAAGCGGUGCGACAAAGUUAGAUUGGUGAAAAAAAUAUCAUGCAAAAAAUCAAUUUGUGCGAGGGAAGAGAAGUGGUCGGC